rnacentral:miRNA from 1 species
CGUGUGUGUGUGUGUGUGUGUGUGUGUGUGUGUAUACAAACACACAAACACACACACACACACACACACACACACA